GGGCCCGCAGCUCAGUCCGGUUAGAGCGCGGGGCUCAUAACCCCGUGGUCCCGGGUUCAAAUCCCGGCGGGCCCA
rnacentral:tRNA from 2 species